GCCGAUGCGGUCGAGCUGCUGGACUUCAACCCCGACCACCCGCACGCGCGCACGAGCUACGUCGGACAGUUCGACUCCGGCA
rnacentral:tRNA from 1 species